GCGCCAGCUCAGGCACGCAGCUAGCUCAUGGAGGGAGAGGGAGACGAUCAGACGAGGACCAGCAAAGGCUAGCUGGGGUUUGGCAUGGUCGCAGUGAGCAGGAGCGGCUCUGGCGCUAGCAUGAGCAACGGCUCCGGCAGGAGUCCGCCGAGGCCGAGGGCGAAACAUGUCACACGGCCAUAAAUUGCCCUCGUCGCCUCUUUCCCCGAUCCCAUCUCGCUCGCCCCGGUCCCUCCCGUUGUUCGGACCUCGGAGCAAGCGACCCGAUCCACGAAUCUUUCCUCUCAAGAGCCUCGUCGAUCCCUUCCCCGAGUCGGCGCGUCAAGUUAAAGGCCAGACUAGCGAUGAUUGUUGAGGAGAGACUGGAUCUCUGUUGGUUGGAUAAGGUGGUGCUGCUGGAGACGCCCAAGGGUUUUGUCCUCUUCAAUAUUAAGAGUAAGAUACUAAAUGCACCUAAGAAUGUGUGGUCGUGGUUUGCCCACAGAGAAACAGCUGAGCAUGUCGGUAUUUCUGAAUCUACCAUGCAUGCUUUUGUUAGCUGCAUGUUCAUCUGGUUCUCUUCUAUUGUACUCGUUGCGCCUAGGAUCGAUUGAUUAUAAUACACAUGUGCACUAGCUUUAAUUUUCCAGUUUGCUUUUCUACCACUGUCAUCACAGAUUUUGCAACUCAGAGUACAGCAAGUCGAAGUCAAACUAUCUUACACUGCAAAAUCAAAAUGAAGUAAAGCAUUCGGCACUAUAAGCUAUUAAUGGUUAUCUUUUUGGUUGACUACGUUAAGGUUGAUGACAAGUCUCCUGUGUGGCGUAGUGAUGGUCCUGGUGAAGUGCUUUCUAAAGUGAUCUGGAAAUAUUGCAGAGAUGAAAAAGAGUUGAUUGUUGGGGAUGAAAAGCUUAAAGGUGUCAUCAAAUCCAAUAUGAAAAAAGUCAAGUUGUUCGACAACGAUAUUAUCUUGCCAGAGAACUCGUAUGGGGGUAUAAGAAUGUUCUGGCUGGUUUUUUAUACCAAAAAAGAGACAACAUCACUCCUGAGUACCUUCUCCCAGUUUCUGAAGGAUUAAAAGCAUCCAUCAGUAAAUUUGGAAUCAACGUCCCUACAGAAGCAAUCACUGAUGCAUUUAUUCGCAAUGCUGGUUCUUUGCAUCGAUCGAUGUCAUGUCAUGUUAUGUCGUGUUCCCAAGGAUCUGCGUAAGGCAUGCGACAAGCUUGUUCCUGGUAUUGGCGAAAUGAUUGAAGAUAACAUGCUCUAUGCAAAAGUUAUGGCUAAGAUUCUGACCCCUAAACUGGUGAAAGAUUGGGAGUUCUCAAUGAGCUUUCCGCCUGACAUGGUACUGAAGCUACAGAAGGCAGAUGCUGCAGCGGAUGAUGCCUGCAAACAGAUUGAUUACAAAAUGUUUCGUUUCAUACACUGCUCCCUUGCUGACCUUGAGCGUCUCCCAGGAUUGAAAACUAUGUGGGUUCGGAAGCUCAAGGCGUAUGCUGAUAGAUGGUCUAGGCAACAGGAGUUACAGAUUACUGGAAAGAGGUGCCACACUGAUGUAGUUGGUGCUGAUGAGACAAGCCGUGGAGCUGAUGAAGAUUCCCCAGGUGCUAGUUCGGAGGGUUAUAAGAAAGCUAGGCCAGCUGAGGUGUGAGAUUGCGCUAGGCAGCACAAGUGUGAGCCAGGCACAUCAAAGCCUGAAACCGAGCAGCAGGUUUCAGUUUCGAGCGGCUGGGGUGCAGAGGAUGCACGCGCACGAUCCGGCAGCCAGAGCUCACCGUUCAUGCCCUAUCUUGGCCGCACGUGUAUGAUCCAACGGCUCCCGUCCACCCUGGGCCCUGGACAUGCUCCGCGGCGGCGCGCGCCUGAUUCCACGCGCCGGGACACGUACGGCAGGACCGGCGAGGACAGCCUCGUGCACCUCGACCUCACCUUCCGGUUCCACAACCUCACCGGAGACGUCGACGGUGUGCUCGGCCAGACCUACGGCCCCGGCUACGUGAGCAAGCUGGACAUCGGUGCCAAGAUGCCCGUCAUGGGCGGCGCGCACAAGUACCUCUCGUCGGGCCUCUUCUCCACCGACUGCGCCGUCUCCAAGUUCCACAGCGCAGGCGCCGGCGCCGGCUUCUUAAGUAUGUGAUCGAUGAGGGACUUGAGGAGCUACUGAUCGCCAGGGCCACGAAAUAAGAAAAAAAGAUUAGUGUCAAUGGAAGAA